AUCAUUAAGCGGAGGAAAAGAAACUAACAAGGAUUCCCCUAGUAACGGCGAGUGAAGCGGGAUCAGCCCAGCGCCGAAUCCCCCGGCGUACAGCCGGCGGGAACUGUGGCGUUUAGGACAGCCCCUGCCGGUCCGCACGGUCGCCCAAGUCCUCCUGAUCGGGGCCUUUCCCAUAGCGGGUGUUAGGCCUGUACUGGCGACCGUCGGUCCUGCCCGGAGCGUCCUGGGAGUCGGGUUGCUUGUGAGUGCAGCCCAAAGUGGGUGGUAAACUCCAUCUAAGGCUAAAUACAACACGAGUCCGAUAGCGAACAAGUACCGUGAGGGAAAGUUGAAAAGAACUUUGAAGAGAGAGUUCAACAGUACGUGAAACCGCUCAGAGGCAAACGGGUGGAACCGCAAAGUCGACCCGCAGGAUUCAACCCGGCGGACAGGUUGCACGAGAGGCCGCGGAUCCCUCGGGACCGACUCUUCGUUCGGCGACCGUCCACGGGUGCACUUUCUGCGGGGAGAGCGCCACGACCGGUUCAGCGGUGGCGAGAAGCCCGUCGGGUGGGUAGCGUCUCGUUCGCGGGACGUGAUGACCCGGCGCGGCGCACGCCUGCCGCAGGACCGAGGAACGACACCGCACCCGCCACACGGCACGGGCCCGCGGCCUCCUCGGCGAGACCAAGCUGGGUGGACUGUCAUCAGUGCUCUCUAACCGCUCGUCGUCUAGGUCCGCGUCGGCUCCCGUAGGGUGCUAUGGGUCAGUGGCGAUUCGGUCGGCCCUCUACCCGACCCGUCUUGAAACACGGACCAAGGAGUCUAACAUGUGCGCGAGUCAUGGGGCUCUACGAAACCUAAAGGCGCAAUGAAAGUGAAGGCCGCUUCCGGUGGCUGAGGUGAGAUCCCGGCCCGCGGGUCGGGCGCAUCACCGGCCCGUCUCGUCCGCAUUGUCGGUGAGGCGGAGCAAGAGCGUACACGUUGGGACCCGAAAGAUGGUGAACUAUGCCUGAGUAGGACGAAGCCAGAGGAAACUCUGGUGGAAGUCCGUAGCGAUUCUGACGUGCAAAUCGAUCGUCAAACUUGGGUAUAGGGGCGAAAGACUAAUCGAACC
rnacentral:rRNA from 1 species